rnacentral:rRNA from 1 species
GAUGAACGCUGGCGGCGUGCUUAACACAUGCAAGUCGAACGGAAAGGCUCCUGCUUGCAGGGGUACUCGAGUGGCGAACGGGUGAGUAACACGUGGGUGAUCUGCCCUGCACUUCGGGAUAAGCCUGGGAAACUGGGUCUAAUACCGGAUAGGACGAUGGUUUGGAUGCCAUUGUUGACAGUUUUUUCGGUGUGGGAUGAGCUCGCGGCCUAUCAGCUUGUUGGUGGGGUAAUGGCCUACCAAGGCGUCGACGGGUAGCCGGCCUGAGAGGGUGUACGGCCACAUUGGGACUGAGAUACGGCCCAGACUCCUACGGGAGGCAGCAGUGGGGAAUAUUGCACAAUGGGCGCAAGCCUGAUGCAGCGACGCCGCGUGGGGGAUGACGGCCUUCGGGUUGUAAACUCCUUUCGCUAGGGACGAAGCGCAAGUGACGGUACCUGGAGAAGAAGCACCGGCUAACUACGUG